UUCCAGCCCAGGUCUCCACGGCCACAACGUGGAAUUCUUACCACUAAACUACAGCCACGUCAUGACAAUCGGGGAACAUUAUCAAAUAUUAAUUGUUGCUACUAAUGCGAACCACGCAACACUUUCUCGCUAUCUUGUUGCGUCAUGUUGAGGUGCAGGUUCAUGGUUCCAAUCUGAUCUUUCACUACCUGAUUGCUGCAAGUUUUGCUGCCUUUGCUUCACAGAUAUGGGCUGCCAUGGACUUGUCUUUUCUAAAGAAUGACUUGCAGUGGGAGAAGUGAUAUCCAACACUAGGGGUCAAACUGUAGCCUCUGGAUCAGAAAACACUGUAGUACAGACUAAUAAGGAGGACGGCAAGGAAUUGGAAAUGCCGGAUGGUACUGAAAUUGUGCUGGUGGUGGAGGUGUAGGUGGCGGUAGAGAUGGAGGAGGAGUGGGAGUGGGAGUGGGAGGACAACCGUAACACAGAUAUGGUCCAACAGGCUGUCCAUAUGCAGAGCCAGGAGGCUUUCUCCUGCACUUGCACCUGCCAGGGUCGGUUGUGGCUUGGUCUAAAUGAUGAUGUUUAUGUGUGACCAUGUUGUGAACCCCUCGAGCAACUCCUGGAUAGCACCUUCGACGACAGCCAAAGGAUAGACCAUGUAACGAUCAGCUGCCCGGUGAAGCUUAUCAAAUCCAUAUUCUACAGAGUCACUCACAUGAUCCCUGACUUGAUUCCUCUUCAUGGCCUCGUUGUUUCUUCUUUCUCUUUGCUUUUGGAGGCUUGUCCACGACCUUCACACUUGUAAAGAAGAACUUAACGUUCUUCACAAUUAAAUAAAUAGAGGAAGAGGAAUAAAGUUUGUGCUUGAAAUCAAAGCUAUAUAUUCCAUAUCACUUAUCAGGAACUUACAAACGGUGUAGAGUAAUUAUUCCGGAAUCCUGACUACAUCAUCAUUCAUCAUCAUCUAACAUUGUCAGUAAAUUAAGGGCUACCAUUUGCUAAAUUCCCUACCACAUUUCUUUGAUCUUCUGCUUGAAGCCUUGAUGGUGUAAAAAAUCUUUCAUUAAUGAUUAGAUAAAAUCUGGCUUGGCCUAGAUUUGAAAGUUCAAUUGGAAACCGAUUUAUUUUUCUUUUCAAAAAGAAUUUGCAUUUAAUUCUUUUGGUACUUCAGCGAUAUAAAGUUUCAAAGAUUAGUUAGGGGAAAAUUCUUUAGCAGUGGCAUGUUUGUGUUUUUGUUUCUCUUCUGUCAAAGAUUAGUAAGGGAUUAAUCAAUUGAACUUUUCUUUGUUUCUACUUCGUUGUUGGACAGAUAAUCGUUUUACUACUGAGAUUGUCCAAAUAAUAUCUCAAAAGUAACUCGAACCAGUUGGAUGUUGGACUUGAUAAUAUUGUAAAAAAAUUUAUUGGAAGUUCAAACCAUCACCUCUUACUAAAAGCCAUGGACAUAUAUUAUUUUAUUACAUAAGCAGAGAUCAAUCCUUGACCUCUGGUUUCAAUACUUUGAUUUUCAGAUACUAAGCUGAUGUCCAUGUACUACCAAAGUUACUAACUUUAAUUGUGCCACUACUGUGGUUGGUCUUAUUUACGGUCCGAAUCUUUAACAUCGGUUAUCAGUAUUGCCCAGGGCGGCAAUAAU